rnacentral:rRNA from 1 species
UACGUAGGGGGCAAGCGUUGUCCGGAAUCAUUGGGCGUAAAGAGCGCGUAGGCGGCCCGAUAAGUCCGCUGUGAAAGUCAAGGGCUCAACCCUUGAAUGCCGGUGGAUACUGUCGGGCUAGAGUCCGGAAGAGGCGAGUGGAAUUCCUGGUGUAGCGGUGAAAUGCGUAGAUAUCUGGAGGAAUACCGGUGGCGAAGGCGGCAUCCUGGACCGGCAUUGACGCUGAGGAGCGAAAGCUAGGGGAGCAAACGGG